GACGAACGCUGGCGGCGUGCUUAACACAUGCAAGUCGAACGGUGAAGCGCCUUCCUUUUUGGUGGGUGUGGAUGAGUGGCGAACGGGUGAGUAACACGUGAGUAACCUGCCCCCUUCUUCUGGAUAACCGCAUGAAAGUGUGGCUAAUACGGGAUAUUCUGGGUCUGUCGCAUGAUGGGUCUGGGAAAGAUAUUGUUUCGGUGGGGGAUGGGCUCGCGGCCUAUCAGCUUGUUGGUGGGGUGAUGGCCUACAAAGGCGGUGACGGGUAGCCGGCCUGAGAGGGUGGACGGUCACACUGGGACUGAGCCACGGCCCAGACUCCUACGGGAGGCAGCAGUGGGGAAUAUUGCACAAUGGGCGCAAGCCUGAUGCAGCGACGCCGCGUGAGGGAUGGAGGCCGUCGGGUUGUGAACCUCUUUCGCCAGUGAAGCAGGCCUGCCUCGUUUGUGGGUGGGUUGACGGUAGCUGGAUAAGAAGCGCCGGCUAACUACGUG
rnacentral:rRNA from 1 species